GCUCCCUUCAGGAGCAAAAAUAAUACAAUUAAAAUGAUACAGAGAAGAUUAGCAUGGCCCCUACUUAAGGAUGACAAGCAGAUUCCUAAAGCGUUCCAUAGUAUC
rnacentral:snRNA from 1 species